GACGUAGGGCGCGAGCGUUGUCCGGAUUUAUUGGGCGUAAAGAGCGUGUAGGCGGUCCGAUAAGUCGGUUGUGAAAGUCCAGGGCUCAACCCUGGGAUGCCGACCGAUACUGUCGGACUAGAGUUCGGAAGAGGCGAGUGGAAUUCCCGGUGUAGCGGUGAAAUGCGCAGAUAUCGGGAGGAACACCUAUGGCGAAGGCAGCUCGCUGGGACGUUACUGACGCUGAGACGCGAAAGCGUGGGGAGCAAACAGG
rnacentral:rRNA from 1 species